GUACCUCUUUUGACUUCAUGAUGGCAAAAUACCAAUUGGCCAACAGCAACAACGACAUGCAAAAUGGACAGUCCCAUGUGAUCAUUGACAACUGGAAUCAUUGUUGUUACUGCUACAGGCUGAGGUUGUUUCUAGAAAUAUCAAAUUGGAAAUUCUCAGAAUGGAUUGCUCGUCGUCAGUUAAAAACAUGUACUUCUCUUGACUUGAUGAUGGCAAAAAUACCAACUGGCCAACAGCAAAACAGACAUGCAAAAACGGACAGUCCCAUGUAGUCAUUGAGGAUUGGAAGUGUUUUUACUACUGUUGCAGUCUGAGGUUGUUUCUAGAAAUAUCAAAUUGAAAA